UACGUAGGGUGCGAGCGUUGUCCGGAAUUACUGGGCGUAAAGGGCGCGUAGGCGGCCAUCUAAGUCAGACGUGAAAUCCCCCGGCUUAACCUGGGAACUGCGUCUGAUACUGGACGGCUUGAGUAUGGGAGAGGGAUGUAGAAUUCCAGGUGUAGCGGUGAAAUGCGUAGAUAUCUGGAGGAAUACCGGUGGCGAAGGCGGCAUCCUGGACCAUUACUGACGCUGAGGCGCGAAAGCUAGGGGAGCAAACGGG
rnacentral:rRNA from 1 species